GCCACUUUUCCUCUAUUUGUCUGGCUUUAAACUGUGAGCUCCUGAUGGUGAGAAUGGGUCUUCCCUUACUGUGUGUAAAUAUGCUGUGGAUGCCACCAGAAAUAAAUAAUAGCUCUGAGACUCCUACAGAGCUUUGAAGUCUGACCUGAAUGUUUUUGGGGACUUCUUGAAAUUGCCAACAAACUGAAAAAAAUCACUUAUUCACUCAGCUCUACUCCGUAUCUGAGUGAAAUCUGAACUCCAGCCUAGCUCAUAAGAGCUAAAGAUCUGAUGGACCUCUUCAUCCUUUCCUGACAGCUAGAUCCGAUUGCUGUGACCAACCCUGAAUUCUUCAGUAUUUAUCAA